rnacentral:pre_miRNA from 1 species
UUAAAUGAUGGCAGAGGCCGAGUUGGGAGGUUCCCUCUCCAAAUGUGUCUUGAUCCCCCACCCCAAGACACAUUUGGAGAGGGACCCUCCCAACUCAGAUAAACUGUGGAGAGUGUA